AACGAACGCUGGCGGCAUGCCUAACACAUGCAAGUCGAACGAAGCCUUCGGGCUUAGUGGCGCACGGGUGCGUAACGCGUGGGAAUCUGCCCCUUUCUUCGGAAUAACAGUUAGAAAUGACUGCUAAUACCGGAUGAAGUCUUCGGACCAAAGAUUUAUCGGCAAGGGAUGAGCCCGCGUAGGAUUAGGUAGUUGGUGGGGUAAAGGCCUACCAAGCCGACGAUCCUUAGCUGGUCUGAGAGGAUGAUCAGCCACACUGGGACUGAGACACGGCCCAGACUCCUACGGGAGGCAGCAGUGGGGAAUAUUGGACAAUGGACGAAAGUCUGAUACAGCAAUGCCGCGUGAGUGAUGAAGGCCUUAGGGUUGUAAAGCUCUUUUACCAGGGAUGAUAAUGACAGUACCUGGAGAAUAAGAUCCGGCUAACUCCGUG
rnacentral:rRNA from 1 species